CCAGAGGGGGGGAAAUCCUCACCAUCCCCCCUACAAAUCGCUUGCCCUGCUUGUAUUUAUACCUGAAUAUGGAGAUUAUGUACUAAUAACAACUGAGAUUAUGAUAAUUAACAACUGAGAAUACAAUGCAGAUGCAGGACAACUCCACACAGAGGAGAAUUAUCAGGUUGGCAUUAACAAACAACAAUGGUAAUUUGUUUGCCACAGGCACGCCUUUUACUGCUCAUACUCAUGUGUGUUUUGCAAAUUGUGUGCACUAUCAACCCAGUCUCACGUCUGAACGUGUCACUGUCACGUUAAUUAAUCUAUUGGGACGUGUUGUGUAACACGUUUCCUUGUUAAAAAACGUGUUGAGCAGGACGUAAUUAUCGUGUUACUAUCACGUUGUAUUUCGCAUUCAAUGAGCCAACAGAACCACGUCAUCUGUCAAAAAAGCCCGACCCAAAAUGGCCAGAAUGUUAUUUGAUGCUUUUGACGUGCAGUUUCAUACUCUUAAGCCUGCUUUGAGUUGUGGGUUAGAAGGAGCCACCUUCUAGCUAGCAGUUUUAGAAGGCUGAACCCCAGAAUCCAGAAACAAGAACCGAGCAGGGACGGAGAAAAAAGAAGAAUCCAAAUGGGAAAUGAGAUAAGGCCUCUUCAUUUUCAACUGUGAAGGAUCUACAUGGACUUGGUCUGGAUAGCCUUUCCUGUUUUGAUGAGCCAGUCGGGUCUAGAGGGAAAACCCUAUAUGAGCCCCAGGAUCCUUGCUCCUGAUAUCCUGAUGUAUGGGUUGCACUUCAUUAUAUGACUCCAACAGAACACUCACAGAAAGGAGAGUGAUGCCAAACUACAAGACAGCCAGCAUAUCCUCGCUCCUGAUAUCCUGAUGUAUGCAUUCCAUUUCAUUAUAUGACUCCAACAGGACACCUACACAAAGGAGCUGUUAAAGCAGUGUCCUUCUACAAACAACAAGACAGCGAGCAUGUAAACAAGGCCUUGUUUGUCCACUUCCUGAAGGGGCUGAAGCAUGCUGGCCUUGACACCUCAGUCCUUGCUUCCAUUUACAGCUGUGUUGUGGAGCGCAUUCUCACAUCCUAUGGUCUGCAGCGGGUGGUGUCAUCGCGUUAUUUAUCAUCGUUUGUGUAAAUCUUACACAUCUUACACAAAAGUCUAAAAUAAUCUAAACUUCAUUUACUCUCCAUGUAUAGAUCAAGAUAGACUUGCAGAACAGGCUGCAGGGCAACAGUCUGAUAGCCUGCAUGAAAGCAUAAAUGGUCCGCACUUGUUAAAGAGUGCAAUUAUCAAAGGGCAUUGAUAUUGUGUUUUUUUAAACCAAGGAGGAUGGCUGUAGCGAUGCUGUCAGCUCUGCCAUAAGCAGUGACUGUGAUUACGUUUGCACAUUUUGAAAAUGUUGUUUUUCUUUCUUUUGCAUUCUUUUCCACUUCAUUGUUGUAUAGUUUGUAUAAUGUUUGUUAAAGUUGCACACAUUAAUUCACUGUUCUUAUUUGUAAAAAAUUGUAUAGUGUGGUAUAGUUUGUAUGGUGGAGUCUUUAUUGUAUCGUACAAACAAGAACACCACACCCCACCCCAUCAUACCACUUUGACUAACCAAUUUUCUGCAGGAAACCCUGGAGGCUUUCUACAUGUAUUUUGUUAAACAUAGGGGUUUCUAUGGUAGUGGUUGCUAAGCUAUUGCUAGGGUAACUGAGAAGGUUGCUAUGGUGUUGCUACAGGAUAUAUAGUGGUUGCUAUGCAGGUUUAUAGGGUAAUCAUGUUGGUUGCUAGGUUGGUGAUAGAGUAACUGAGAAGGUUGCUAGGGUGUUGCUAGAGUAGAUAUGGUGGUGGCUAUACUAAAUUAAGUGGUUGCUAUGCUGGUUGCUAGGGUAAUUGAGAUGGUUGCGAGGCUAGUCAUGUUGGUUGACUAUCAAAGUGGUUGCUAGGUUGGCAUUGUACAGGUGGUUGCUAGGUUGUUGAUAGGGUAACCAAGAAGGUUGCUAGGGUGUUGCUAGGGUAGAUAUGGUGGUUGCUAUUCCAAAUAAAGUGGUUGCUAUGCUGGUUGCAAGGUUAAUCAUGUUGGUUGCAAUGGUGGUUGCUCGGUUGACAUUGUGGUGGUAGUUGUGAGGUUGUUGGUAGGGUAAUUAAUAUGGUUGCUAGGUUGUUGCUAUGGUUCUUAUGUUGGUUGCUAGGUUGUUGCUAGGGUAACUUAGAAGAAUUUUGUUCAGCUAAUACAUUUUGGCCUACACUAUUAAGGGACAGCUGAAUUGACCAUCUAAACCAUAUAUUUUCUUAAAGCCUAUAGUCUGUAGAUGUCAAUUAAUAUGAAUUAAGACAUGUCCAACAUUCCUACUUACUUUGGUGCAUCAUAUAGGCUUAAGCAAUACUGCUAUUUUUGCUCUUAGACUAUAAAAAUCCAUAA